GACAGAGGGUGCGAACGUUGUUCGGAAUUACUGGGCGUAAAGCGCGUGUAGGCGGUUUGGUAAGUCGGAUGUGAAAGCCCCGGGCUCAACCCGGGAAGUGCACUCGAUACUGCCAAGCUAGAGUAUCGGAGAGGUUGGUGGAAUUCUCGGUGUAGAGGUGAAAUUCGUAGAUAUCGAGAGGAACACCGGCGGCGAAGGCGGCCAACUGGACGAAUACUGACGCUGAGACUCGAAAGCGUGGGGAGCAAACAGG
rnacentral:rRNA from 1 species